CGCGUCGCCCCCGACCACGCCUCCCUUAUUGGGAUGGGUUGUGUCGGGGGCGGAGACUGGUCUCCCGUGCCCAUGGUGUGGUUGGCCUAAAAAGGAGUCCCCUUUGACGGACGCACGACUAGUGGUGGUUGUCAAGACCUUUGUAACGAGCCGUGCGGAUGCAAAGGGAUCGCUCUAAAAAGACCCCAACGCGCUGUC
rnacentral:misc_RNA from 1 species